rnacentral:rRNA from 1 species
UGAGUAACGCGUGGGUAACCUGCCCUUAAGUCUGGGAUACCAUUUGGAAACAGAUGCUAAUACCGGAUAAAAGCUACUUUCGCAUGAAAGAAGUUUAAAAGGCGGCGUAAGCUGUCGCUAAAGGAUGGACCUGCGAUGCAUUAGCUAGUUGGUAAGGUAACGGCUUACCAAGGCGAUGAUGCAUAGCCGAGUUGAGAGACUGAUCGGCCACAUUGGGACUGAGACACGGCCCAAACUCCUACGGGAGGCAGCAGGC